AUGUCUUCUGAGAUCAGACCUUGCUUUGAAUUUAAAAUGGGUCUCCUCAGCAUCAUCAGAAAAAUCAAGCGCAAGGAAAAGGAGAUGCGGAUUCUCAUGGUUGGCCUGGACAACUCGGGUAAGACGACAAUUGUGCUCAAGAUAAAUGGGGAGGAUACUGGUGUCAUCAGCCCUACUCUUGGUUUUAAUAUCAAGACCAUCCAGUACCAAAAGUACUCGCUGAACAUAUGGGAUGUCGGGGGUCAGAAGACCAUCCGUUCGUAUUGGAGGAACUACUUCGAGCAGACUGACGGUCUAGUUUGGGUGGUCGAUAGUUCUGAUGUUCGAAGGCUUGAUGAUUGCCGUACUGAGCUCCACAAUCUUUUGAAAGAAGAGAGACUGGCUGGAUCAUCGCUACUAGUUUUCGCAAAUAAGCAAGACAUUCAGGGCGCUCUGAAGCCUGACGAAAUUGCCAAGGUUCUGAAUCUUGAAGUGAUGAACAAGGACCGGCACUGGAAGAUCGUUGGCUGCAGCGCCUACACCAGCGACGGCCUGCUCCAGGGCUUCGACUGGCUUGUCCAGGACAUCGCCUCCCGCAUCUAUGUCCUCGACUGA
rnacentral:rRNA from 1 species